AAAAAUUUAUAAUACUAGUUGCUUUUUACUAAUUUUUUUGGAUAAGCUCAAAAAAGUUAAGGUUUCUAAUUAUAUUUGUUGUGUAGAUUUAAAAUUGAUCAAAAAGUUUUUUAUAAAAUAAUAGUUUUAAUUUUAUAAAUAAAUAUAAUUUAAACUAACUUCUUACGGGGAUAAAAGCUUUAAUUUUAUACCUAUGCUAGAAUGAGUAUUAAACUAUUGUAAAGAUUUUCUUCAAAAAAUCAAUUAAUCAGAAGGAACUCGGCAAAUUUAGUUGUUUCGCCUGUUUAGCAAAAACAUGGCUCUUUGAUUAUAUAAAUAUAAAGAGUCGGACCUGCCCAGUGUUUUUAAAUGGCCGCGGUACUCUGACCGUGCAAAGGUAGCAUAAUCAUUUGCCUUAUAAUUGAAGGCUAGUAUGAACGGUUUGACGAGAACAACGCUGUCUCCUUUUUAUUUUCAAGAAUUUAACUUUUAGGUGAAGAGGCCUAAAUUUUAUUGAAGGACAAGAAGACCCUGUCGAGCUUAAAAGAUAUUAUAGAAUAUUUAAAUCUUCUAUUUUUUUAGUUGGGGCGACUAAGGAACAAAAAAAGCUUCUUAUUAACAACAAUCACGUUUAGAUCCGAUACGAUCAGAGAAAUUAGUUACCGCAGGGAUAACAGCAUAAUCUUUCUUGAGAGACCUAAUCGAAAGAAGGGGUUGUGACCUCGAUGUUGGACUAGAAUAUCCUAAAGAUGUAGAAGUCU
rnacentral:rRNA from 1 species